rnacentral:lncRNA from 1 species
AGAAAACAAAAGAAAACAAAAGAAAAAUAAUUCUAAGAAAAAAAAUUAAGGUAAACUAAAACCUAACUAAAAGAUAUACUAAAAUAUGAACAAAGAAAAAUAAAAAAAUAAAAAGAGUUAGUAAAAAGAAAAGAAAAGUCACCAAACUUGUGAUGAAGAUCACAAGUACUCUGGAAAGGUGAUAUCACUGUAAAAUGGCACCAUCCCCG